rnacentral:miRNA from 1 species
UUAGUUGGAGACAUUUAAGAGCAU